GACGAACGCUGGCGGCGUGCUUAACACAUGCGAGUCGAACGAUGAACCCGGAGCUUGCUCCGGCGGAUUAGUGGCGAACGGGUGAGUAACACGUGAGUAACCUGCCCUUGACUCUGGGAUAACUGCUAGAAAUGGUAGCUAAUACCGGAUACGACCCUCGGUGGCAUCACCAGGGGGUGGAAAGAAUUUCGGUCAAGGAUGGACUCGCGGCCUAUCAGCUAGUUGGUGAGGUAACGGCUCACCAAGGCGACGACGGGUAGCCGGCCUGAGAGGGGGACCGGCCACACUGGGACUGAGACACGGCCCAGACUCCUACGGGAGGCAGCAGGGGGGAAUAUUGCACAAUGGGCGCAAGCCUGAUGCAGCAACGCCGCGUGAGGGAUGACGGCCUUCGGGUUGUAAACCUCUUUUAGUAGGGAAGAAGCGAAAGUGACGGUACCUGCAGAAAAAGCACCGGCUAACUACGUGCCAGCCGCCGCCGUAA
rnacentral:rRNA from 1 species